rnacentral:rRNA from 1 species
AGGGCACCACCAGGAGUGGAGCCUGCGGCUUAAUUUGACUCAACACGGGAAAUCUCACCAGGCCCGGACAAUAAAAGGAUUGACAGAUUGAGAGCUCUUUCUUGAUUUAUUGGGUGGUGGUGCAUGGCCGUUCUUAGUUGGUGGAGCGAUUUGUCUGGUUAAUUCCGAUAACGAACGAGACUCUGGCCUACUAACUAGACGUUGGAUCUCUUUGUGGGUCCAUCGCAGCUUCUUAUAGGGACGGGCGGCGUUUAGCCGCACGAGAAUGAGCAAUAACAGGUCUGUGAUGCCCUUAGAUGUUCUGGGCUGCACGCGCGCUACACUGAAGGAAUCAGCGUGUGUACCCUGCCUGAAAAGGCUGGAAAACCCGUUGAACCUCCUUCGUGAUGGGGAUUGGAGAUUGCAAUUAUUCCCCAUGAACGAAGAAUUCCCAGUACGCGCGAGUCAUAAGCUUGCGUCGAUUACAUCCCUGCCCUUUGUACACACCGCCCGUCGCUACUACCGAUCGAGUGAUAUAAU